AAGGUGAGGCUUCAAAGGGCUCUUGGAGGAAGAAGCAUUUCGGAAAGAUCUUUGUUUAAGUGAGUAGGCACAUGCUGCAGACAGCCGCAAGGAAAGCUUCUAGACACACAGGCAGCAAGUGCAAAGGCACAUAGGAUACUGUUCUUGUGUAUAACUGCCCCUGAACUUGGCUGUGGUCUGACUGCCUCUGGCUGGUGGAAAGCAAGCUGAGGUCACAGGCACUCCUUCCAGGAAGAGGGUUAACAGCCAGUCUGUAAUUUGUGGCUCUUGUCUGGAGCUACAAGCAGUUUCAGAUGCCCUGCCCUGCCCGGCCUGAUCGCUGGAGUCCAGGAGAGACUAUGGUGAGCAGAGCCCUCUGCUGGCUGGAGUUGGGAAUGCAGUGAGUGAGGCCCGACAGGUUUCUUAAGGCCUUUUAAGGAAGGGCUGUGUCACUGAAGCAGGGCCUGAGGACAGGAUCUGAAGGCAGCAUGCAAAAGUGAAAAUGAAUGGGAAUGACAAUGGACUGUCUCCAGUCAUACUCGGGUUCAAGCUUGGACUUACAAGGCUCUGCUGAGAAAGUGGCAGGAGUGGGCUGGGCUCCUUACACUCAGAACAUUUACCUGCUGUGUCACACUGGUGGACAGAACUGGUUAGAAGAAGACGAGGAAGAAGAGAAUGAGGAGGAAGAAGAGGAUGAGGAGGAAGAAGAGGAGGAAGAGGAGGGGGAGCAAUAGCCACAGGACAGUCAUAUACAACUGUGGCUGUCCUUUGCCUGUCUGUAUCCUCUUUAUCCCCAUCUGUCUUCUUUUAAAUGACAAGUAGCAUCUCUGAACUCAGCAAGCGCUGCCAAGGACCGCAGCAACCCUGAUACUGACUGGUUCAGCAAUGUAAGGGCGACUGACUGCAGCACAUACUGGACACACAGAGCCCAAGGACUUACAACAGAGCUGGACUGAGUCAAGUCAGAGUCAGUGUGUCCCUGGGAUGAAAACCCCCUCCAUGUGGCAACUGGCCUCCCUGUGGCUAUCAGGGGGGAGAGCAUCAUUUACAGGGGAGUGGGCCUCUCUGGUUGCCCAGCUCUCCGGUUCCCAGCAGUUUUAUGCCUCUCCAGAGAGGAUGCAGAGUUUUAGCAUGGACUCUGGGGGACAGGUGGUUGAGGACCUGUCUGAGCUUGGUAACCUCAGGAAACCACAUGUGCUUCUGCUUUCUCAAGGAGGGCCGUGAGAGGGAGCGGCAGUAGUGAGGAGAACCUCCAAUCGGUAGAGUCCAAGGAUCAGCUCUGGCAGAAAUUUAUUGAAAGACAAAUUCAAGAAAGUCACUGUCUUUCCAAAGGAAACAAGAAGAACACAGCUAGAAAGAAACACAUUCCUUUGAAUGCACAGGCAAAAAUCUAAGAUCCAGAGGUUCAGCAACAUCAAAUCGCAUGAUCCUCCAAAGGGGCAAUAGCAUGAAGGAGAGCUCUGAGUCAUCAAGCACCUGAGGCAAUCACAGGCUUGGGGGACCACCAUCACAGCCUAUAGCAGCAUCCAGCUUCUGGCUAUCACAAAUAAGACUGCUAGGAACAUAGUGGAACACAUGCCCCU